UACAGAGGCCUCGAGCGUUAGGCGGAAUCACUGGGCUUAAAGCGUGUGUAGGCGGAGUUCUAAGUACCUUGUGAAAUCCCACGGCUCAACCGUGGAACUGCUUGGUAUACUGGUUCUCUUGAGGUACCUAGGGGCGAGCGGAACAAGUGGUGGAGCGGUGAAAUGCGUAGAUAUCACUUGGAACGCCAACGGUGAAAAUAGCUCGCUGGGGGUAUCCUGACGCUGAGACACGAAAGCCAGGGGAGCAAACGGG
rnacentral:rRNA from 1 species